AGUAAGGUCAGCUAAUUAAGCUAUCGGCCCCAUACCCCGAAAAUGUUGGUUCAUACCGGUCCCAUACUA
rnacentral:tRNA from 1 species